rnacentral:rRNA from 1 species
GACGUCCCCUUCGGGGGCAGAGUGACAGGUGGUGCAUGGUUGUCGUCAGCUCGUGUCGUGAGAUGUUGGGUUAAGUCCCGCAACGAGCGCAACCCUUGAUCUUAGUUGCCAGCAUUCAGUUGGGCACUCUAAGGUGACUGCCGGUGACAAACCGGAGGAAGGUGGGGAUGACGUCAAAUCAUCAUGCCCCUUAUGACCUGGGCUACACACGUGCUACAAUGGACAGAACAAAGGGCAGCGAAACCGCGAGGUUAAGCCAAUCCCACAAAUCUGUUCUCAGUUCGGAUCGCAGUCUGCAACUCGACUGCGUGAAGCUGGAAUCGCUAGUAAUCGCGGAUCAGCAUGCCGCGGUGAAUACGUUCCCGGGCCUUGUACACACCGCCCGUCACACCACGAGAGUUUGUAACACCCGAAGUCGGUGAGGUAACCUUUUAGGAGCCAGCCGCCGAAGGUGGGACAGAUGAUUGGGGUGAAGUCGAAACAAGGUAGCCGUAUCGGAAGGUGCGGCUGGAUCACCUCCUU